ensembl:snoRNA
GGAUCCUGCUGCUUCCCGCAGGCAGUGUUCUUAUACUGACUGUGUAGAGAGUAGAAGCAAAAUAAGCCUACCCAUGUACACCUGAGUCUAGCCCACUGUGCCUGGUCUGUAUUGUGACUGGGGAGACAUGG